UGGGCUUGACAUGUAGGUCGCACCCGUGGAAACACGGGGUCGGUUCGGCCGGACCUUCACAGGUGGUGCAUGGCUGUCGUCAGCUCGUGUCGUGAGAUGUUGGGUUAAGUCCCGCAACGAGCGCAACCCCCGUCGCAUGUUGCCAGCAUUUAGUUGGGGACUCAUGCGAGACUGCCGGUGACAAACCGGAGGAAGGUGGGGAUGACGUCAGUGCUUGCCU
rnacentral:misc_RNA from 1 species